AUUUGACGUCAUCCCCACCUUCCUCACAUCUUACGAUGGCAGUCUUGUCAGAGUCCUCAGCAUCACCUGUUAGUAACUGACAACAAGGGUUGCGCUCGUUAUGGCACUUAAGCCGACACCUCACGGCACGAGCUGACGACAACCAUGCAGCACCUUCACACUCGCUAUUGCUAGCUGAACCGUUUCCGGAUCAUUCGAGUGCAAUUUAAGCCCGGGUAAGGUUCCUCGCGUAUCAUCGAAUUAAACCACAUGUUCCUCCGCUUGUGCGGGCCCCCGUCAAUUCCUUUGAGUUUCACCGUUGCCGGCGUACUCCCCAGGUGGAAUACUUAACGCUUUCGCUUGGCCGCUUGCCGUAUAUCGCAAACAGCGAGUAUUCAUCGUUUACCGUGUGGACUACCAGGGUAUCUAAUCCUGUUUGAUACCCACACUUUCGAGCCUCAAUGUCAGUUGCAGCUUAGCAGGCUGCCUUCGCAAUCGGAGUUCUUCGUGAUAUCUAAGCAUUUCACCGCUACACCACGAAUUCCGCCUGCCUCAACUGCACUCAAGACAUCCAGUAUCAACUGCAAUUUUACGGUUGAGCCGCAAACUUUCACAACUGACUUAAACAUCCAUCUACGCUCCCUUUAAACCCAAUAAAUCCGGAUAACGCUCGGAUCCUCCGUAUUACCGCGGCUGCUGGCACGGAGUUAGCCGAUCCUUAUUCAUAAAGUACAUGCAAACGGGUAUGCAUACCCGACUUUAUUCCUUUAUAAAAGAAGUUUACAACCCAUAGGGCAGUCAUCCUUCACGCUACUUGGCUGGUUCAGGCCAUCGCCCAUUGACCAAUAUUCCUCACUGCUGCCUCCCGUAGGAGUUUGGACCGUGUCUCAGUUCCAAUGUGGGGGACCUUCCUCUCAGAACCCCUAUCCAUCGUUGACUAGGUGGGCCGUUACCCCGCCUACUAUCUAAUGGAACGCAUCCCCAUCGUCUACCGGAAAAUACCUUUAAUCAUGCGGACAUGUGAACUCAUGAUCCCAUCCUGGAUUAA
rnacentral:rRNA from 1 species